rnacentral:lncRNA from 1 species
GGCUGCUCUCCAAUUCUGGAACAGGCUCGAACAAGCUCUCCAUUUGGGAGCAGCUGGGAGCUACCCUCAUUUUUUGCUAGGAGUUAGUCUCCCUCGUGUGCAUACCACGGGAAUGCCUUCAUGCCUGCUACUGGUUUUGGUCUGGGGCCAAUCAGCUCUGCUUACCCACCUCUCUGCUUGAGCAUUACUGGGCUACGUGGCUUCCAGGAGUUGUCACCAGCCCAACAAGGCAGGUAGGGCCGGAAAGCAUCCCCGACAGUGGCUGUGGUUGUGGUUUAGCACCUUGCCUGCGUGUGCGCAAACUGAGCUCUAGGACUGGCAAACCUUCUCAUGUAAGGAUGUGAGUCAAGGAGAUCUGCAUCCCUGCAAGUUCUUUGGUGCUUCCUCGGCUUGGUUCUGCAGAUGAACAAAACUGCUGGUUGGGAUUACUUCUUGGACACUGCAGACAUUGUUUCCAUCAGAUAGAUAACCCAGAGAGGACACCACAAAUCACAGAUCCAACUGAGAAUAAAACUUGGUGUUGCAACUUUGAGAUGAUGCUGGAGAAACUUCAUCCUAAACUCCAGAGCAGAGGCAAGCCUAGGACAUCUCUCCAGCCACUUACAGAGAACAGAAGGAAGGGUGGCAGCUGGCUGUAGGCCGAAGGACCAACAUCUGUGACUGUGACUUCUGUCUGGAGACAGCAAACUUUGACAUCAACCUCCUAGGUUGAUAAGAAGACAGAAAAAAAUGGUGCAUGGAAAGAACUUGGUUCUGUGACUGGAAACAGGUAAGUGAUGUACGUGAGGGUGAUACUACUGUGGCUGUGUGAGUAUUGUCAAAAAUGUGAGUCAGACAAGGACUGGAACUGCAGACUUAUACUCCAGGAUUCUUUCUACUGAGUGGGCAACUAAAUAUGAAACCUGGACUGAGAAUACAUGCACAGAUGCACAGAUGUGACUUCAAAAUGAAGGAAUGUUAGACUCUGGAAUGUGAAUAGUCGUUUUUUGAAUGACAUGGGAAGGUAUUUCCACUGGGCAUGGGAAACAGUGAUAGAAAUCAU